GGGGCUAUAGCUCAGUUGGCUAGAGUACUUGACUGGCAGUCAAGGGGUCGUCGGUUCGAAUCCGUCUAGCUCCA
rnacentral:tRNA from 1 species